GACUGACAUCCUUGAGAGUCCUGUAGUCGUAGAGGAGUGUGACUCGGUGAACUCAGUGACAGGUGCUGCAUGGCUGUCGUCAGCUCGUGCCGUGAGGUGUUGGGCUAAGUCCCGCAACGAGCGCAACCCCUACUUGCUAGUUGCCAUCACAUAAGUGAUGGCCACUUUCGUGAGACUGCCCGGUUCAACCGAGAGGAAGGUGGCGACGACGUCAAGUCAUCAUGGCCAUUACGUCCAGGGUUACACACAGCUAGAUACAAUGGUGGACUACAGAGUGUCGCGAAUCCGCGAGGUCGAGCCAAUCCCAGAAAAUCCAUCCCAGUCUCGGAUCGCAGUCGUGCAACUCGACUGUGUGAAGUUAGAAUCGUUAGUAAUCCCAGAUCAGCAUGCUGGGGUGAAUACGUUCCCUCACCUUGUACACACCGCCCGUCACACCACGA
rnacentral:rRNA from 1 species